rnacentral:rRNA from 1 species
UACAGAGGGGGCAAGCGUUGUUCGGAAUUACUGGGCGUAAAGCGUGUGUAGGCGGUCCACUAAGUCGGGUGUGAAAGCCCUGGGCUCAACCCAGGAAGUGCACUCGAAACUGGCGGGCUAGAGUAUCGGAGAGGUUGGUGGAAUUCUCGGUGUAGAGGUGAAAUUCGUAGAUAUCGAGAGGAACACCGGUGGCGAAGGCGGCCAACUGGACGAAUACUGACGCUGAGACACGAAAGCGUGGGGAGCAAACAGG